rnacentral:rRNA from 1 species
GAUGAACGCUGGCGGCGUGCCUAAUACAUGCAAGUCGAGCGAACGGACGAGAAGCUUGCUUCUCUGAUGUUAGCGGCGGACGGGUGAGUAACACGUGGAUAACCUACCUAUAAGACUGGGAUAACUUCGGGAAACCGGAGCUAAUACAGGAUAAUAUUUUGAACCGCAUGGUUCAAAAGUGAAAGACGGUCUUGCUGUCACUUAUAGAUGGAUCCGCGCUGCAUUAGCUAGUUGGUAAGGUAACGGCUUACCAAGGCAACGAUGCAUAGCCGACCUGAGAGGGUGAUCGGCCACACUGGAACUGAGACACGGUCCAGACUCCUACGGGAGGCAGCAGUAGGGAAUCUGCCGCAAUGGGCGAAAGCCUGACGGAGCAACGCCGCGUGAGUGAUGAAGGUCUUCGGAUCGUAAAACUCUGGUAUUAGGGAAGAACAUAUGUGUAAGUAACUGUGCACAUCUUGACGGUACCUAAUCAGAAAGCCACGGCUAACUACGUG